AAAAGAGCGGACUUUCACUGUAGAGGAGUUACUGAGACUCACACACAGCGCCACCUGCCGCCCCCCGAGCUCACUGAUACACUGACGCCUUCAGAACGAUAAGAGUGAGGCCUCUUCCUGCCUGACUGUGGGGCCCUUUGUCUCGGGCGGCUCCUCAGGGAACAGAGGCCACUACCCUGCACUACCUGAUGGCUCCUUAGCGUGAGGAGCGCAAAGAGGAAGCAGGCCAGUCACGGGAAAGCAACAAAUAGCAGAGCUGACUGACAGUUAAAAGCUGGGAAAGUACCCAGAGCAAGAUGGUGUGAUUUUGAGUGAGGUGACCAAACUUUUGCAAGCCACUUGUGCACGUGUGCCUGAGUGUGUGUGUCAAGGUCAACUAGACAAGAGGUUAUGAACAGCCUGCGUGAAGAGGAAGCCUGUGGGUGUGGGUUCAUACCAAACAGCAGACAGUAGCAGAUUACAGGCAACAAAGGUGUCAACUGUGAUGCAGUAUGGCUGAACUUUUACCCAUUUACAAUAAAAUUUGCUUUACCCACUCAAAGUGUGUUGGAGGUUCUAAUAAAAUAAAUUAAAGGAAUUUAAUUAUAUAAAUCAAAUAUUUUUAGAUUAUAUUUAAUCAAAUAGUCAAAUAAAUUUGAUUAAAUAAAUUACUGUUUUAAUGUGUGUACGUAGUGCUAGACAAUAUGGCAAAAAAUUAUAUCACAAUAUAUUUCUUAAUUUCGGUCAAUACAAUAUAGUUUUAAUAUCACUAUGAACAG